AAACCUAGCUGACUCCAUAUAUUAUGUAGUUAGGUCCAAACUUAAUUGUAGUUGUUUUCUGAUGCCAAUAGCUGUCACUGUAUGUCCCUUGAAAAUUUUUAAUAUUCUGUAGUAUUCCACAUUUUGCAAACCUUUUAUCUAGGAACUUAAAACUUCUAAAAGACUUCCAUCAAUAUCGUAUCUCUAAUAAAUACCAGGCCCUAGGAAUCCAACAUCCAAAAUUCAAAGGAAAAGAAAAAACAAAAGCACUGAUCAUGAGAAUGAAAUACUCGAAAACAUUCUGAGGAUCAAGCAUCACUGAGUUUUAAUACUUCUGAAUUUCAGGAAGGGACAGUUCAACACAGACAACUUUACCUGAAUCGUGUGUGGAAGAAACCUGACCACAGUGAAAGAGAAUAACUAAACUCUUCUAACCUAAUGUGAUUCUUAAAAGCAGUAACUGCAUUUUCUAUUUCUAAACUGCUAACUUCAAACACUAUGCCUAAUGAUGUAACUGAUUUUUUUUUUUUUUUUAAGUUUAAUUUAUGGCCAGAGUUUAAAAAGUUGAACUUAA
ensembl:lncRNA novel transcript, antisense to RNF138